UGUAGAAUUUUAUGAGAUAAGCCAACUCAACGCUGCAAUCAAAUGAGUAAAUUGUGAUUAAAAAAAAUGCUCCAUUGCUUUGGGCAUAGAAGAGCAUUGAUGUUGCACUGAAGAUGGUCACAGCGUGAGAAAAUCAUUAUAAUUUUGGGUUGGUUGUUCCUGGUAGGUGUCAUAAAAGGUAACCUUAAUCCAAUUUUUUUAUAUAUAUUUAUGUAUGAGAUGUGUAAUUAAAGAAUUUAGGAUUAAAUGCACAAUUGAAAUUUAUUCUAUAAAGAGAAUGCAUAGGGGCUCAAUAGAUAAGUAAGUUGACCAUGUUGCCUGAGGAUAAUGUCGAUUCGACAAGUGAUUGUAAAUAAUUUUGUCUUUGGCCUUCUAGGCAAAUAAAACACCUACUCAAUCUAUACAUUAAUUUUUGUUCUUCUUAUUGAUCCACAUCUAGAUCUGUAUAUCAUCGUCCUCUCUACUCACUCUAACUAGUUAUUGUUUCUAUUUUUCACAGGCAAAAUUAUCACUUCCUAAUUUAUUGAGCCCCUAUUGUAUAUUGUGCAAUUAAUCCUGAAUUCUUUGAUGACACAUCUCAUACAUAAAUAUAUACAAAUUUGGUGCAGGGUUACCUUUUAAUUUUAUGAUAUCUACCAGCACAAUCAACCUGAAAGUGUCAUGCAUCCCUUACUCCGUGGCUUGCUUCAGCGCGAUGCUAGUGUUCUACUAUUCCCUCCUAAAUCCACCUCCUGAACCUCCUAGUACUCAACAUUUUCACGUUAUGUGAAAAUUUGUCAAAUCAAGGUCAAAUGAAAAUUUAACAUGAAAGAAUUCAUGCCCAAGAUACAAACAUAGUUGGCAUGAAGUUCUUGGCUCCUUGUAUUUUAAUCAAUGGCUCAUUGUGAAUGCCUUGUCUUGCAGCUGAAGUGUGAAGGUAUCCUACUAGCAUUUCAAAAUUAUAUAUUGAAGCUGGGAACAAGUAUGAUGAUUCCUUUAAUAAUUGUUAAUGGCAUGGGAAGAAGUGAUCGAUGUGUGCUGAAUUUCUGCUCGUGUAAAACAAUUAAUUCUUGCUUUUGAAACACAUUUUUUUUUCCUGAUAUUUACUUUGUUACUGGUUUGGUUUGGUUGCUCGAUCAUAUAUAACCAGGGUGAUAAGGCAUGGUAAUACAAACUCUCUUCUUGCAGCUGAUAUUCACACACUUCUCCAAACACUUUAUUGAACCAGAUUGCCUACAAUAGUUGGAGAUUCAUCUGCGUAUGUGCUUCCAAUUGCAACAAAUUAGUGACCCUCAUGAAGCAAGUUUCUUCAUUCCAUUUGUUCAUCACUGGCAAUCUGAGAGCACAUUAAGCUAUGCAUUGGUUUUUUAAUUUGUAACUUGUAACAUCUAAUAAUUGAUUAUGUAACGCAAUGAUAAUCAUUUGUAUUUGUAAGUUUUUUUUUUUUUUUUGAGUUUUAUCAGACUUGUACUCUUUAUGGUAUAUGACAAAGGGGUUAUAAUGUAUAUUCUUUCAAAUGCGUACUGUACCUGCCAAUGAUUUUGUAGUUUUUUAUGAGAUUAGGAGCUAUGGUUGAUUA